CAAGAGAAGCAGGAGAAGCAGGCUGAAAAAACUGCAGAAAAAAAAGGAAAAGAGAAGAGGCCUUUAUCCCACCCAAGGAGCCUGCAAACCUGGUGGAUAAAUCUGAGGAUGCUAACAGUAAUGUAGCUGACAUGGCAAUGUCCUUAAAG